rnacentral:rRNA from 1 species
CCCAAAACGUGUUAGAUUUGACCCCGUAACGACUGAGGUCGAAAGACCGAGAUAUCGAUUCUACAAGUAUUAGAAUUUUAUCGAUAUAAUACGCCGACACUCCCCGCCCAGGGCGGGGAAAGAAGAUAUAGUCUACACUACUAGUAAUAGUAGAUAAAGUGACGGUCCAUACACCUACGGGUGGCAGCAGUUGGGAAUAUUGCACAAUGGGCGACAGCCUGAUGCAGCGACGCCGCGUGAAGGAAGAAGGCCUUCGGGUUGUAAACUUCUUUUUUAGGGGACGAUUGUGACGGUACCCUAAGAAUAAGGACCUGCUAACUACGUGCCAGCAGCAGCGGUAAUACGUAGGGUCCGAGCGUUGUCCGGAUUUAUUGGGCGUAAAGAGCAUGUAGGUGGAUUGAUGUGUCGGAUUUUAAAUCUCCAGGCUUAACUUGGAUUUUGGAUCCGAAACUAUUAAUCUCGAGGAUAACAGGGGCAAGCGGAAUUAGCGGAGUAGCAGUGAAAUGCGUUGAUCUCGCUAAGAACACCAAUGGCGAAGGCAGCUUGCUAGGUUAUCUCUGACACUGAGAUGCGAAAGCGUGGGGAGCGAACGGGAUUAGAUACCCCGGUAGUCCACGCCGUAAACGAUGCAGACUAGGUAUCAGAAGUAUCGACCCUUCUUGUACCAAAGCUAACGCGUUAAGUCUGCCGCCUGGGAAGUACGGUCGCAAGACUAAAACUCAAAGGAAUUGACGGGGACUCGCACAAGCGGUGGAGCAUGUGGUUUAAUUCGACGAUAAGCGAAGAACCUUACCAGGGAUUGACAUCUAGAGAACCCUGCAGAAAUGCGGGGGUGCUCGCAAGAGAGCUCUAAGACAGGUGCUGCACGGCUGUCGUCAGCUCGUGUCGUGAGAUGUGGCCUUAAGUGGUCAAACGAGCGAAACCUGUAUCCUGUGUUGAUUUUCACAGGAGACUGCCUCGGUUUACGGGGAGGAAGGCGCAGAUGACGUCAAGUCAGCGUGGCUCUUACACCCUGGGCUACACACGUGCUACAAUGGUAAUGCUAUAAAGAGUUGCAAGAUCGCAAGAUUAAGCUAAUCUCCUAAAACUUGCCUCAGUACGGAUUGAGGGCUGUAAUUCGCCCUCAUGAAGCUGGAAUCGCUAGUAAUCGUGGGUCAGCUACACCACGGUGAAUACGUUCUCGAGUCUUGUACACACCGCCCGUCAAGUGAGCCGAGUCGGCGGGGCCCGAACUUCGUAGUAACGGGGAACGGCCAAGUCGGUGAGGAGCACUAAGUCGUAACAAGGUAUCCGUAGGGGAAUCUGCGGAUGGAUCACCUCCUUU